rnacentral:sRNA from 1 species
GCAUUGCUGAUGCUGCUGCUGGCGGACAUGGACGUGGUGAAUCAGCUGGUGGCUGGGGGUCAGUUCCGGGUGGUCAAGGAGCCCCUCGGCUUUGUGAAGGUGCUGCAAUGGGUCUUCGCCAUCUUCGCCUUUGCCACAUGCGGCAGCUACAGUGGGGAGCUCCAGCUGAGCGUGGAUUGUGCCAACAAGACCGAGAGUGACCUCAGCAUCGAGGUCGAGUUCGAGUACCCCUUCAGGUGUGCUCCCACCCUGGGAUACCAACAGACCUGGGAGAGGAAGGGGCAGGGUGGAACCGGCCAAUACCUCCCCCCACAAGUAGCUCCUGCCCAGUUCCCACCUCGAGGCCACAUCCACUGGGAUCACUGAGCACCUGCCUUGUACCUGGCACUGCUCUGGACUCUAGGACUAUGUGAUGGGCAAGGCAGACAUAGGCUGUGGCCCUCUGGCUCUGUUCCAGCGAAGGGGUAAGGGACAGGCAAUAAACAAGAUACAAAAGUAAGACAGGUGUAUAUACAUACCUUAACCCAGUAGGUACUCAAUUAAUGUUAGCCAAUAUUAUUAUUUAAUCCCCAUU